rnacentral:lncRNA from 1 species
GAACCUUAAAUAGAAACGGAGAGAGUUGCAGGUCAUAAAGUAAAUUUGCUCUACUUGGAACUUGGAAGGGUAUGUCAGGGGUAGAAGCUCCUCAUUAAGUGUACAUUUAAUUAGUAGGAUAAACCAAAUAUAGCUGAAGCUAGGUAAGAAGCAUUUAAAAUAAGGGAGAUGAAUUAUAAUAACAUUCUGAUGAAGACUUUUCAACUUACAGUCAACAGUGCUUCCUCAAUCUCAACUACUGCAUAUUACGAGAGCAGUAGUAUACACAAACCAAACUGAAAGAGCAAGUUUGACCACUACACUGGUUCUUUAAGUACAAGAUCUUGGAUUGAAAUUGAGAGGUCACAAAUUCUGAUCCAAACAAAUGCAGCUCUAACAAGUAACAAUAUGACCCCUUAAUAUANACUAUAGCCUGCACUUCUUCCACUUCUCUACAUAAAUGAUCACAUUGUCUCAAAUGUUUCCUAAAUGUUGAUCAUCCACGUGAAUCUUUGUAUAUUAAACAUUCCUGCUUAAGUCCUAUUCACUUGUAUAUGUUUGACAUCAACCAAUGGUGUUUCACACUCUCAUGUACGUGCUUCUUAAUAUUAACAACCUUCCAUAUUUUGAAGUGCUUACAGUGAUCUUUACUAUAUUAAAUUGAAGAAGGAUAUUGUAUAUUGAUAGGUAAUCCUAUGUUAUUAGAUGUCAAGGCCAGUCAUCGACUAUUCGUCACUUGAAAUGUAUAUAUCACAAUAUGGCUGUUACUAUGAAAUAUACUAACAAGGAAGGCCUGCAUAGCUUUGUUGGCUGACUUCCAAUGUUCUGUAUGCAGAUAGGAUGAUGUACAGAGAUAACUUUACUCAGAUUGAAAAAGUAUAGUUUACCUUUCCAAUUUGCUGAAGCUCACGUCCAACUGGAUCCAGAAAUUUCAAGUCGACAUCGAUAGGCCACACCUGAUAGGUAGGAAAUCUCAAGUGAGAAUCUGACAAGUUAAUCUAAAAAUUUAUAUCCAAAAGAAAAAUCACUCUAAAAAUAAUUGAGCAAGUAUGGGUAUAAAACAAUUAUACAGAUUCUGCCUACAGCUAUUUAGCUCGAUAAACAGGUGGUCCAUAACGCAGAAGUGUCCUACAAGUGUCUUUUCUGUAUUCAGAAUAUGAUAGCAUCUGCUUAUUGGGUUACAUAAGGCCUGAGCAAGUCAAGAGUAUUUUAGGUAUUUGGGAUGGCUAUUUUCAGGCAACUAUAGAGUAAAAUGUUGGCAACUUUAUAAAGAAAUAUAGAGAUUCUUACAUGAAGGCUACACUCUACAUCUGAAAUAAUAGUUGCUCCUGGUAAUAUGAUAAUGGGACUGACAAACAAGAGUGGGGGAAUAUGAGAAAAUAAGCAUCCCAAUAUAGCGCAAUGAUGCCAAUAUGUAUUCACUCCAUUGGGUUUGGAACCUUAAAUAGAAACGGAGAGAGUUGCAGGUCAUAAAGUAAAUUUGCUCUACUUGGAACUUGGAAGGGUAUGUCAGGGGUAGAAGCUCCUCAUUAAGUGUACAUUUAAUUAGUAGGAUAAACCAAAUAUAGCUGAAGCUAGGUAAGAAGCAUUUAAAAUAAGGGAGAUGAAUUAUAAUAACAUUCUGAUGAAGACUUUUCAACUUACAGUCAACAGUGCUUCCUCAAUCUCAACUACUGCAUAUUACGAGAGCAGUAGUAUACACAAACCAAACUGAAAGAGCAAGUUUGACCACUACACUGGU